GGAGACUUCAUGCAGUUUUGGCGAAGGAACCACGACUACCAAUGGUGUUGUUGAUAGGCAGGAAGCUGUUGGUGAGAUGCUGGUACAGGAUCACUCCGUCUUGGCAGGUUCAGCGAGCACAAAACAGAGUUACCUUUACAGGGAUGAUGGAAAAUGCUAUCUUAGAAAGGUGGGGGCAAAAGAUGGUUACCUUCUCUAUGAUGAUUCAAGCAAUGUUUGUGAGGUAGCCUCUUUAUAAGACUGUUUAGAUUGUUCUUUUGUACCACCGUCUCCUUGCUUGGGUACC
rnacentral:misc_RNA from 1 species